GACGAACGCUGGCGGCGUGCUUAACACAUGCAAGUCGAACGAUCAAGAAGAGAAUCGCGAACGUCGCUUCAAAUUUCACUUCGGAUUAGUGGCUGACGGGUCAGUACCUCGUGUGCAACCUACUUCUUAUAACGGGAUAGCCUCUGGAAACCGAGAUUAAUCCCAUAUGACACAUUCAUAAGGCAUCGUAAGAAUGUUAAAGCCGCGGCGGUCAGAGAUGGGCUCGCGUCCCAUUAGCUGGUUGGUGAGUUAACGGCCCACCAAGGUGAAGAUGCGUAACGGGGAUGGGAGGGUGCACAGUCACGCUGGCGCUGAGACCCGGACCAAACUCCUACGGGAGGCAGCAGUGGGGAAUAUUGCACCCUGGAGGGAACUCUGAUGCAGCCACGCCGCGUAAGAGAUGAAGGGGUUAGUAACGUAAAGCUCUGUUUUAUGGGAAGAUAGUGACGGUACCGUAGGAAUAAGCCCCGGCUAACUACGUG
rnacentral:rRNA from 1 species